CACGAAGGGGGCUAGCGUUGCUCGGAAUGACUGGGCGUAAAGGGCGCGUAGGCGGCUCAUACAGUCAGAUGUGAAAUUCCUGGGCUUAACCUGGGGGCUGCAUUUGAUACGUGUGGGCUUGAGUGGGGAGGAGGGUCGUGGAAUUCCCAGUGUAGAGGUGAAAUUCGUAGAUAUUGGGAAGAACACCGGUGGCGAAGGCGGCGACCUGGUCCGAUACUGACGCUGAGGCGCGAAAGCGUGGGGAGCAAACAGG
rnacentral:rRNA from 1 species